CCAGGACUCAGGUGCUCCAUCAGCCUCCUUUCAGCGGAUCGUUCAGCUGUUUACUAAAGACUGAUGAUCAGAGUCGCCUCUCUUACGUCUUUUCUGUUCUUUACUGGGAUGUGAAUUAAGCCAAACUGAAAUGACAUCAUGCCGAGGGGGAAGUCGGGCUGAAUACGUACCCACAAGGCCCUGCAGGAGAACCAGGGACCAACGGGAGGAGGGGUAUCUCCUGAGAAACUGUUGCGGGGCCCCUCACAACAUGUCAGCCGAACGGUCACACGAGUCCUGAUCCCUCGGCCCACCGUGCUGGCCUCGUCCCGGGCAGAGGGACCACAUGUUCGCCACAUUAACGUCUUCAACUCAGUCUGAUUUACACAUGAAGGGAUGAACUCUGUCCAGCGUGGAUCUGUUACAGGCUUGUGCUCAGCGACACGGGACCAUUUCCAUGGAAAUUGAAGGUGCCUCUUCUGAAAGCCUUGAAACACGUGUAAGACAAGGAACUGCAAAUCAGUGCAACGGACAGGAGACAGAACUUUCUGGGAGGAGGAGGAGGAGCGGAAAGAAGAGGACGGAAGGAGAGGAAUCCACGGACAAACAGAGGCCAAGUUUCUCAAUGCCAAACACACACACACAAAGGAAAUCUCUUGUGCUCGCUCUGUGCAGCAGAGACACAGGCAGUGAUACCAUCAUCACACAGCGUGCUUACAGAGUUACACAUUUACACCUCUCUGGCCCUCUGCCUGCUACCUUCCUCCCAUCCUCUAUGAUUCCCCUACACGUUUCUUGGGGACUAUACCUUACACUUAAUCUGUCAACACUGCGCUGCUCCCGGAGCAGGAACAGUACCAGCUGAGGAUUUUAUUACAGGGAUGAGGAGCAGGUUCGGUAGGUGUUUCCUCUGGGGUGACAUUUUGCUCCGAGGGGCAACAGCGGCUACAUUGUGCUGACAGCCUGACUUGUGUCCUUGUUGGGAGAUUCCUCAGCAUUCCUGAAAGCACUGUCGCCGUGACUGGGAGCUCUGUUUCGGCACCCCCGAAGCUUCGAAAACCCCAUGGGAGCGUCGCUUGCACGGCUUCCCAAAUUCCACAGGUUUGCAGGGAUCCUAAAUGAGAGAUGAAAGACCUCUUGGAGAUCAAGGUCAGGCAGCAGAGGACGAGGUGAGCGCUGCUGCCAACGUGCCCCGACAGUCCUCUCGCCUGCCAGCUGCCAUUUGUCUUCACGUCUCUCCUUUGGCUAUUGGCAUUGCUGAUAAUUAGAAAUGCCAGACACAAGACUUUUAUUGCUCGGUGUAGCUGUAGGCGACCAAUAAAAGUGCCAAAUACCUAAUAUGAUGAAAAGAAAAACACUUAUUAUGUGUGACUGAGUCAUAAAAUCAUCAGACACGUUGACUCACCAGACUGAAUGUUAAAUCUUUAGGCUCUAAUGGGGCUAAGAUAGAUUUGAUAUGAACUAUAUGACAGUAUAAUGUAUCAAAACAUGCGUUAGUAUCAUGCUUAAUAUAAAACCAUCAUUUUUCUUGCAGCCUUGAAUUUGCAACUUGACUGAAAAGUUCAGUCAAAUGUUCUCCAGUGUCAUAAAACUAACUCAGUGCGGGAACUUAAAAUGGGCCUUGUCAGCAAAAGUGUAUAAAAACUGACUGGUGCUGCUGAAACGGCAAUUUUUCUGCCUGCUGACUGACUAAAGUUAAAGUUGCAACAGAGGACAUUUCCCCUCCUGAAGUUUUCAAGUGGUAGUAUUGUGUGCAACGGUUUUCCUCAGAAUAACACAAAGCAAAACAUAAGUUUAUUCAAUCAUUUAGUGUUUAAUAGAAAUAGACCUUCCUUUCUUAAUCUUCCUUUCCCCUAGACACAAAUAUCUAGUAAUGGUAAGGUUUAUAGGGAACAUUCCAGAUUUGCAGAUUUAAAUAUAUUUUAUCAUAUUGGAUAAGGCUUCAUUGAUUUAAAGGGGAAUAUUGGGACUUGGCGGAGGUAUGCACUCUACUCAGUGCCAUUCUAUUUAAAAUAAAC